GUACGCGAGUCCUUCGAGCUGGCUUACGAAGCUCUCGAGGGCUCAACGAAAGUGAAAGUCGCGCUUGCGCGACGGCGAAUCCGGAGAGAUCGGCUGCCGCGGGGGCAACGACGCCGAUCCGAUUCGGCGCACGCCGGGGGCCCGUCCGCAUUCGGAUUCGGACGACGCCGACGCUCGAUUCGUCGAUGCGUCGGCCUCUCGCCGGAACGAGGGCGGGCACUCCGAGCGCGCGGGUUAGUACCCGAAAGAUGGUGAUYUAUGCUUGUUUAGGACGAAGCCGGGGGAAACACCGGUGGAGGUUBGUAGCGAUUCUGACGUGCAAAUCGAUCGUCGGAGCUGAGUAUAGGGGCGAAAGACCAAUCGAACUAUCUAGUAGCUGGUUCCUUUCGAAGUUUCUCUCAGGAUAGCCGGCGCUCAGACGGACGGAGUUUCAUCCGGUAAAGAGAAUGAUUAGAGGUCCGCGGGGAUGAAACUUCCUCAGCCCAUUCUCAAACUCUAAAUGGGUGAGAAGUCGGGCUUGCGUGCUUGAAGCCACGACGAUAUUUCUCUAGAAUCCGAGCGCCAAGUGGGCCACUUUUGGUAAGCAGAAUUGGCGAUGUGGGACGAACCAAACGUCGGGUUAAGGGGCCAAAAUGUCGGUUAAUAAAGAGAACUUAAAGGCGUUGGUCGCUCGAGACAGCGGACGG
rnacentral:rRNA from 1 species